UCUGUGCACUAGGGCUCCCUGCUUCCGAUCUUUUUUAUGCUACUGCUUUCUCAAAGCGAUAACCAUGUAAAGUAUAGAAAGCAAGAAACUAAAAAUAUUGGACUAUUUGGCUCAGUUCCUAUUUGAAACUCCCCAGGCCCCGUGAACAGAAGUCCUGUAAAAAGUCUCAGAUGUGGGUUGCUGCACAGUAUCGAAUAGACCUGAAACAGGAAGUUACCCUAUUUUUCUAGCCAAGAUCUGCCCAUUCUGCUUCCUGCUGCUGAAGUCAGAUGUCUGGCAGCCGCCGCAGAAACUUGCUGGAAUCAAAAUCAGGAUUUGAGAACAUCUCACGAAAACUUGCUGAAGGUUCCCAGGCCAUUUCUCCUGGAAGUCAAGUUAGAAGAAAUGUGCAGCCAGAGGGCACAGCCCAUUUCUGCAAGGAGGUAGCAACCAGGUUUCCCGUUAUCCUGGCAGCCAGACGACUUCUGAGAAAAAGCCACAGCGGAGAUGUGGCAGCUGUCAAUCACGAUCCUACUCCCUGGCAUUAUCAAGAUACGAGACGUAAUAAACUGCACUUAAGUAUACAAUAUAUGAGUUUUAGAAUAUUAUUAUGUUUCAGGGCUGGGGUUGUGGCUCAGUGGUAGAGUGCUCGCCCAGUAUGCAUGAGGCAUUGGGUUCAAUCCUCAGCACCACAUAAAUGUAAAG